CCAGUUCCACAAAGCUUUGUUGUCUAUUUGAGCUCCACAGAAUUUAAGGAUCAAAGAAGACUAGGAGCCGGAGGACAUCCUAAUCGCUGUCAGGCUGGUGCUGCCGACAUACAAAUACACCUCCACCACCUGCUAGCUACAUGAGAAGAAAUUACGUCAAAAUCCAGCUUGGGGGAGAGCACCCCCAUUUAUCAAGCUAAGUGUUUCUUCUCGCGUUUAUACUUUACUCAAAUAAUAAAAAGAUGCAUAAUCAUAAAAACCCAAAUAAAGAUUUUAUGCUUAUAUAUAUAUCUAUGCUUAGUUUGCUAAAUAAAUAAAUAAAUAAAGUUUGCUAUGAACCCUCAUGAUAAGCUCUCACAUGGAUAUGAUGAAUAGUUGCUCUGCCAUGACUAGUUCUCAAAAUUGAAUUCUCUCUCAAGUUUAGGCAUGACUGUUAUGAAUUAAGAUUUACUCUAGACCUGAACUUGUGGGAAGAGUACUUGAUCUAAAGUCUAAGUCGUUAACGGAUAUGAUAUGGGAAGGUUGAGCGGUUGUUUAUCUGUUCCUAGAGAUGCUAGAAUUCUGGAGAAUUUUAUCUUUGAAAAUCUUUAAAAUGUUGCAUGAUGAGUUCCUGUAUGAUGAGAGUUUAAAAUCCUACCACAACCAUAUAUACAUGCUUAUUAGACUAUGAACCAUAUAUUUACUUUUACUACUUAUAAGCAUUGAGUGUGGUCAAGCUGUGUAGACCCUUAGGAGCUUGUCAUGCGGUUAAAAUCAAGAUUCACUUGCACGUUCACUCAUACAUGCUGCUUCUACUCUGGAAGUACGCAUCCACAUACAUCCACUCAUUUCCAUCUCCACAUUCACCCAAAAUUAUUCUACUCCUAUCCAGGAGCGAAUAGCCAAAAAUAUUAUCCUAUCCCUGUUAUUCCACAUGAAAUAAAUGCUCGAGAUAUUUUGGUUACUACCACUUGCUACAUUAUUCCAGGAGGGUGAGUGCUCUAAAAAAAAGUGAAUACGAGGAAAUACAAAGGGGCAAGUGCUCGGAACCUCGAAAGAAAAGAAAAAGUGAGACAAGAGGUAAAAAUGGACAAGUGUCCGAUAGUAGAAUUAGGUGUACAAGAUACCCACCUAAGGGAAAAGAAAAAGAAAAUAUAGAGCAUCUCAUUCCUCUCAAAAACCUUCAAAGUGCAAGAAAGGUAUGUAUCCCCUCAAAAGAGCAAAAGUAGAAUUAGACUUUCACCAUUAUCACCAUCAUCACCAUACACCAUUCAUCCACCACACAUGCACAUCUUGAUUUGACUUAUUGACUUGUUUCUCUGGAUCCAUGGUUUGACUAUGCAAUAAAUGUCUUGUAAGUAUGUAUUAGCUGUCUCCCACCUAUGAUCUCCAUAUAUCAAAACCUUGUUAGAGUAGGGUGAGAGAGAAGGCAAUAUCAUUAUGCCUCAUACCACAAAUACCACAUACUUUGAGAGAAGGCAUAUAUCAUCACUGCC
rnacentral:lncRNA from 1 species